rnacentral:lncRNA from 1 species
GGGCGGCUUCUCUGGCGCUUAAGUGACAGGAGGAUGGGGUUCCGCGGCGCCCUUAGCUGACCUCGUGGUGCAAGAUAGGGAAGGUCCGGACUGCAAAGAGCCGAGUUCGAGUUCCAAUGACUCUCCUUGCCCCAAAAGAGUGGGACAGAGAGGUGUGACGGCUUCGCCAGAGUCUCCCCGGGCCUGCCUCGCCCGUUCUCAGUGCUGCGGACCGUAUGAGUUACUGUCCGUCGUGGGCUCCAAAGUCCCGGCAGCACUUCGUCUUCGACAUCCCGCUUCCUUCACACGGGGUCGCCCCCGCCAGCCGCCUGGGUUCCAGUUUACUUUUGCCGACGACCUCCUCUGCCUGGCAUGUCCUUCCUCUCAAAUGUCACAUCUGUGAAGCCUCACCUAAAACUCUGUUUCUGAGAUCGACACCUCCAAGAUUAAACUCAUUGGUUAUGCUCCUAAUGUUGGUCUGGGAAUCAGAAACUGAGGACUGCAGACUUACUGGUGAUGUAUUGACAGUCUCAUCUCUGUUUACCUAGCCCCAAAAAAGGUAGAGGUGAGGGUAGGGAGGGGAAGGCAUUAUGGGAAAAAUAAUUAGCAGCUGAAAGCAGCUAUUACAUAAUCUUGGCUGCUUAUUAAUUUAGCAGAAGAAAUGGCUUAUUAAAUUCUAAUAGCAGCAGCGCAACUGCAAACAACCUAGCAAUUAACAGUGCAGGGCCCAUUAUUUUGUUAAUAUGUUCUCUUCUUUUGGCAAGGGUAUGAGAACAAAAUUUAUAGAAGCAGAUGGUCUUUUUCAGUAGAUUAUAGAUAGUUUAUUCCCCAGUCUUAGUAUUAAGUGAUAAUUGUGCAUUCACUGUGAAAGAAAAAAGAAACGCAGUUGCCAUCUUUGUUAGUAAUUAAUUGCUUGACUUUGAUUCCCACAAUUUCCAAAUUGUAGCCUUUGUUAUGUAUAUUUCUUCUUAUCUAGUAUCUUUUUCACCUGUCCUGUCAAAAGGGUAUCACUUUCAAUCUUUUUUGUUUGUUUUCUGGAUGAUCCUGAUUUCUUGGUGUUAAUAAUAUAAAAAUUAGAAAACAAAAUUAUUUUUAAACAAUUAAAAAUCAGAUUUUAUACUCAUUUCCUAAAUAUUAAAAAAGUACCUUGCUGGCAUUUAUGCUAAAUGCAAGAGAUGAGGGGGAAAUAAGGAUUCUACCUUCUAACAAUAAAAUUGUUUAUGUAAUUGUUCAAAGUUCUCAAAAUAAUUUUAAUUGCCUAUAAAUGUAUGAUGGCCAUAUGUUUUUAUCCACUCUCCUUCUCAAAAGUCCAUUAAAUGAAAAAAACAAAACAAGGGCCGGGGAUUUAGCUCAGUGGUUCCACCGCCUGCCUCGCAAGCAGAAGGUCCUGAGUUCGAUCCCUGGUACCAAAAAAAAAAAACAACAAAAAAACAAAAAACAAGCCCAGGAUGGGGGGAGUGUUUAAAACAUACCCACAUGGACAAUAUGAGAGAAGCGUAACCACAUGGACAUCAACAGAAUAACUUAUCAUGAAUAUUUCAAUAAAGUGUCAGAGUAUACUAUCAACUUAUCGUUUAAACACUGAUGAUUUAAAUAAAAUUGUAAUGUAUUAAGAAUAUAGAGGAGCAGAAGUUGAAAUAAUGCUAAAAUAGAUACUAUCUGAAAUAAAUUCAGAAAUAGAAUUAUUAAGAUAUUCCUUAAAUACCAGGAACUAAAAUCCAGAAGCAAUAGUGAAUUUCUUUCCAGGGACAGAAUCUUGAGGUAGGAUGUCAUAAAGGCAAUUAUUAUAUUUUAUUUUAAUGUUUUACUUAAAUAAUUUAGAAAUAUUUUAAUGAAGUAGAUAAAAACCUAGUUAGUUGUUAACUCUAUAUUAUGGGCUCCUAUGGAAUUCCUUUAGCUAAUCUAGAUUAUUCAGAAAUUACUAAAUAAAAAUGUCUAAUAAUGGAAUUCAGUGCUGAAACUAUAUACAAGAUAUGUUUUUAAAAGAUGCUUUGGGUUUGUGAAUUUGCAUCUCCAAAGAUAAAGUUGUUCCAAGGAGAAAACUGGUCAAAAAUAAUGAGAAUUAGUGAAUCAGAUCAUUUCAAAAUAGAGCUGUCGCUCCCAAAGUCCUCAACAAUGAGCUAAAGAGAAAUGUAGAACAUAUGCUCUUUCUUAAGAUUAAUUUCCAUUGCUUUGAAUAAAUUGCAGCAAAAUUACGAUUCGACUAUUAAUAUUAGGUUAAAGCAGUGGUUCUCAACCUGGGCAAAUUUCCCCCAGGGGACACUUGGCACUGCUUGGAGACAUUUUACUUGUCACAACUAGGAGUAGGUGGUGCUGCUACUAGUGGUUAGAGAGUGGGUUGCUGCUCAAUGUCCUACAGGGCACAGGACAGUCCCCACGACCAAGAAUGACCAGCCCCAAAUGACGACAGUGCCAAGGUUGAGAAACCCUGGAUUAGUCACUGAAAAGGUCUUUUACAGACAUCUCAAGAAGCAGAACAAGCACCAGGUUCAUAGGAGCUUUAUUUUUCCUCCUCUUUCUCAGAGGAGGAGUCAGAGACAUUAUUCUUAAUAUUUGGUACAUAAAAUCUUCAACUGCUGGAAAGGCUGGCCACAUACAUGAGGCAGUCAGUAACUAGAAUAAAUUUUUCAAAUAGAAUUUUUUUAAAAAGGGACCCCAGAACAAAGUUACUUAAGAACUUAAAUCCAUGAGAUGACUAUUCCAUCCAUUUGUUGAUUUAUCCCAAAUGCUUAUUAUGUGUCUUUGUUGGUAGUAAUAGGGGUACAACGAUAAAUAAGAUACUGACUCAGCCCUUAAACUGCCAACACAGAAUUUCUCCUGACACAGAAUUCCAAGUCUUUUGGAGACAAACAGUAGAUGGUCACAGGAACAGUCACUAGUUACAUAUAAAUACAUUUUCUUUUAGGAAAUGACUAGAGAUGCUUCACAGAACUUUAGAUUUCUGUGACUGACACCUUUAAAAACUAUUUGACCUCAUGACUUCCCAGGGCUUGUAGCAGCAAUCUUUUCAUUCUGUGAAUUUUUGACAGCACUCUUAGUUCACAACAAUGUGAAAGGGAGAUCCUACGUUUUUAACAAAUAAUUUCAAAUAAUGUUUUGUCUUAGUUCUUGAAAUAAUCUAAUUCUAAAUAACUAAACCAGCUGUUCUAGAAUGCUCUCUUAGGGGACUUUGGAAAACAUAUUGCUGGGCCUCAUUCUUAGAGUCUCUCAUGCAACAGUUCUGAUUUGAGGUUUAAAAAUGUGUUUCUAACAAGUUAUGAAGUAGAGCUGUUGGUCUGGGGGCACUUUGAGAACCACUCCUCUAUACCAAAAAAAAAAAAAAAGAAGAAGAAGAAAAGUUGUGCUAUUCAACUGUAAAGUUCUUAAAGUCAGCAAUUAUAAUUUCCCAGACAAAUGAUCUAAAGAAAAAUUGAUAUCUGAUUGUUUUUAUCAUUGACCUCAUUAAGUCAGAUAACAUUAAGGAGAGUAAUAUUCCCAGUUAUGUGGACCUAAAGCUAAAUCUGUAUGUACAACUCAGAGUAAUAUGGCCAUUAUAUGCCCUGUACAAACUAAUGUACUGUAAGAGUCAAAGGUGGAAAUUGGAGUGCUUAAAGCAAGGUAAAGUUUGCACUGUAAAAAUCAGAUAUUUAUUUGAUUACUAUCACUAUUCCAAUUAUUUAUGACAAGUAGGACUCACCUCUGAAAUAUCACAAACAGGGCAUAGAAAGGAGGGAGUUGAGAGGGAACAGCUACAUAGAAUCAGUAUCCCUGGGUAAAAGACAGACCAGCACGUAGUAAUGAAAAUCCGCUCUUUCUGGGCCAGGGGAUUUAGCUCAGUGGCAUUGUGCCUGCCUGGCAAGCACAAGGUCCUGAGUUCAGUCCCUGGUACCAAAAAGAAAAAAAAAAUUGCUCUUUCUCUCCCUUAGCUAGCAUGCCACUAGACCCAGUUCCUCAGCCUCCUCUGUGGGUAGGUGUGCUGAAGGAGAAGACUCAACCAAUGAAAUGUGGACGGAAGAGAUAGACAGCCAGGCCCAUGAUCGCACCCAUCCUGCCCAACCCUCCUUUUGCCACCUGGAUGGUGAUCCCCAGGGAAUCCUUGAAAGUCAUGUGUUGCACAUGACUCUGUCUCUGUCAGUCUAGGUUCCUAAAUGACUGCAUGGAACAGACAUACUCAGACUACUACCACCUCCUCCCCUCCUCCCAUCAGUUGUACUUGAAGUGACUGAGAAGUUGUAUUAAACCACUGAUUUGUAUUAAUACCUUUGUAUUAAACCACUGAUUUUUCCAGGUUUAUCUGUUAUAGUUGCUAGGGCUAUCUUUGCAAGCUGUUUUGUACUCAGUUUCAAAGAGAGCCAAAAUGAUCGGAAAAGCAGGUGAAUUUUUCAAGUGGAUGGCUCUUUUUUAUUGUAAUCCUGCUUUCUGUGCUCCAUCAUGUGUCUCCCUUCCUUUGAUGUUUGAAGACAAUCAUCACACAAUCUGAGGGCAGAAUUUAAAA